GGGGGUAGCUCAGUGGUAGAGGGCAUGCUGAGAAUGCACUAGGUCCUGGGUUCAAUCCCCAGUACCUCCA
rnacentral:tRNA from 1 species